GCUGGUGUAGCUCAGUGGUAGAGCACCUCCUUGGUAAGGAGGAGGCCAUGGGUUCAAGCCCCAUCACCAGCUCCA
rnacentral:tRNA from 1 species